UACAGAGGUGGCAAGCGUUGUUCGGAAUUACUGGGCGUAAAGGGCGCGUAGGCGGCUUGGUCAGUCCCGUGUGAAAUCCCUCGGCUCAACUGAGGAACUGCACGGGAAACUGCCUGGCUUGAGUUCGGGAGAGGGAUGCGGAAUUCCAGGUGUAGCGGUGAAAUGCGUAGAUAUCUGGAGGAACACCGGUGGCGAAGGCGGCAUCCUGGACCGACACUGACACUGGGGAGCGAAAGCCAGGGGAGCAAACGGG
rnacentral:rRNA from 1 species